AGCUCCAAUAGCGUAUAUUAAAGUUGUUGCAGUUAAAAAGCUCGUAGUUGGAUUUGUGGUAUAUGUUGGGCUCCCGUCCUAUUGGAUCGGUGUAGCCUGGCAUAGCCAUCCUUGGGCAGAACCUGUGUGGCAUUAGGUUGUCGUGCAGGGUAUGCCUAUCGUUUACUGUGAAAAAAUUAGAGUGUUCAAAGCAGGCUUAUGCCGUUGAAUAUAUUAGCAUGGAAUAAUAAGAUAGGAUCUUGGUACUAUUUUGUUGGUUUGCGCACCGAGGUAAUGGUUAAGAGGGACAGUUGGGGGUAUUCGUAUUCCAUUGUCAGAGGUGAAAUUCUUGGAUUUUUGGAAGACGAACUACUGCGAAAGCAUUUACCAAGGAUGUUUUCAUUAAUCAAGAACGAAAGUA
rnacentral:rRNA from 1 species